GAUGAACGCUGGCUACAGGCUUAACACAUGCAAGUCGAGGGGAAACGACGGGGAAGCUUGCUUCCCCGGGCGUCGACCGGCGCACGGGUGAGUAACGCGUAUCCAACCUGCCUCUGACUGAGGGAUAACCCGUCGAAAGUCGGCCUAAUACCUCAUGGCAUCGUCUGCGGGCAUCCAACGACGAUUAAAGAUUUCAUCGGUCAGGGAUGGGGAUGCGUCUGAUUAGCUUGUUGGCGGGGUAACGGCCCACCAAGGCUACGAUCAGUAGGGGUUCUGAGAGGAAGGUCCCCCACAUUGGAACUGAGACACGGUCCAAACUCCUACGGGAGGCAGCAGUGAGGAAUAUUGGUCAAUGGGCGGGAGCCUGAACCAGCCAAGUAGCGUGCAGGAAGACGGCCCUAUGGGUUGUAAACUGCUUUUAUGCGGGGAUGAAGUGAGGGACGUGUCCUUCAUUGCAGGUACCGCAUGAAUAAGGACCGGCUAAUUCCGUGCCAGCAGCCGCGGUAAUACGGAAGGUCCUGGCGUUAUCCGGAUUUAUUGGGUUUAAAGGGAGCGUAGGCCGUGGAUUAAGCGUGUUGUGAAAUGCAGGUGCUCAACGUCUGCACUGCAGCGCGAACUGGUCCACUAGAGUGUGCGCAACGCAGGCGGAAUUCGUCGUGUAGCGGUGAAAUGCUUAGAUAUGACGAAGAACUCCGAUUGCGAAGGCAGCCUGCGGGAGCACAACUGACGCUGAAGCUCGAAAGUGCGGGUAUCGAACAGG
rnacentral:rRNA from 1 species